rnacentral:rRNA from 1 species
AGCGAACGCUGGCGGCAGGCUUAACACAUGCAAGUCGAACGGGCACUUCGGUGUCAGUGGCAGACGGGUGAGUAACACGUGGGAACGUACCUUUUGGUUCGGAACAACUGAGGGAAACUUCAGCUAAUACCGGAUAAGCCCUUACGGGGAAAGAUUUAUCGCCGAAAGAUCGGCCCGCGUCUGAUUAGCUAGUUGGUAGGGUAAUGGCCUACCAAGGCGACGAUCAGUAGCUGGUCUGAGAGGAUGAUCAGCCACAUUGGGACUGAGACACGGCCCAAACUCCUACGGGAGGCAGCAGUGGGGGAUAUUGGACAAUGGGGGCAACCCUGAUCCAGCCAUGCCGCGUGAGUGAUGAAGGCCCUAGGGUUGUAAAGCUCUUUUGUGCGGGAAGAUAAUGACGGUACCGCAAGAAUAAGCCCCGGCUAACUUCGUGCCAGCAGCCGCGGUAA